UACGGAGGGUGCGAGCGUUAAUCGGAAUGACUGGGCGUAAAGCGUGCGUAGGUGGCGGUAUUAGUCAGCCGUGAAAGCCCUGGGCUUAACCUGGGAAUGGCGGUUGAAACGGUAUCGCUCGAGUGGGUGAGAGGAUGGUGGAACUCCUGGUGUAGCGGUGAAAUGCGUAGAGAUCAGGAAGAACACCGAUGGCGAAGGCAGCCGUCUGGUACCACACUGACACUGAGGCACGAAAGCGUGGGGAGCAAACAGG
rnacentral:rRNA from 1 species